GGCGGCGUGCCUAAUACAUGCAAGUCGAACGGUCGUUUCUAUGGAAGCUUGCUUCCACUGAGAAGAUAGUGGCGAACGGGUGAGUAACACGUGGGUAACCUGCCCAUAAGAGGGGGAUAACAUCCGGAAACGGGUGCUAAUACCGCAUAGUUUUCUUGAUCGCAUGAUCGGGAAAGGAAAGACGGCCUUUGUGCUGCCGCUUAUGGAUGGACCCGCGGCGUAUUAGUUAGUUGGUGAGGUAACGGCUCACCAAGACGAUGAUACGUAGCCGACCUGAGAGGGUGAUCGGCCACAUUGGGACUGAGACACGGCCCAAACUCCUACGGGAGGCAGCAGUAGGGAAUCUUCCGCAAUGGACGAAAGUCUGACGGAGCAACGCCGCGUGAGUGAAGAAAGGUUUUCGGAUCGUAAAACUCUGUUGUCAGAGAAGAACAAGUUGGAGAGUAACUGCUCCAGCCUUGACGGUAUCUGACCAGAAAGCCACGGCUAACUACGUGCCAGCCGCGGC
rnacentral:rRNA from 1 species